AGUCAUACUUUUAGAACCUGUAUCAUAAGAUUAUCGUCGGCUACGUGGCAGCUUCUGAUUCCUUGUUAGUAAAAUGUGGGAAAAAUCUGUUUUUCACCGACGAUUUGGUUCACUGCUGGCAAUAAUCUUCCACAGCAAAUCGGAGACACGGUGGCUGGAGAUCUUCAAAUCUAUGGCUCGAGAAAUUGCUUUCUGGUGAGAGUGGAAUCAGUUUGAUUGAUCGAUUUGAGGCCUCCAAGUGUCUGAAUCUCUUAGUUUUGGAUUGAUUCUGAAAAAGAAAGUGGAUGUGAAGGAUGUGGCUGCGGAGAUUGGGGUCAAUCCUGAUGCUUUGAGUGCCAAAUUUAUGGUUCGUGUAUUAGAAGUUCCUGGUGUCUCAAUGGAACUUUGUGGUGGCACUCAUGUUGGCAAUACUGCAGAAAUACUAGCCUUCAAUAUAAUAUCGGAACAGGGGAUUGCAUUUGGAAUCAGGCGUAUCGAAGCGGUUGCAGGUGAAGCAUUUUUUUGAAUACAUAAACUCACGGGAUUCUCAAAUGAAACGUCGAUGCUCAACUCUCAAGGUAUUCUGCUUUUAGAGUGUUUUCUUUUCCAUGUUUGAAGAUGUGUGUAACUGACAAAAAAACAAGCUACCUAGAUAGAUAAAAAAAAUGCCUCCAUCGUAUAACAUAAUUUAAGGUAGUUGUUGUUACUUUUGCCAUAACCUCUUGUUAUUUGAUUUAAUCUGAAGGUGAAAGUAGAGGAUGUUACUAACAGAGUGGAUAAUCUUCUAGAGGAACUGCGUGCUGCUAGAAAACAAGCAUGGAAAAUGGUCGUUUUCGUGGAGCUUUUUCCAAGUCGAUUUUCUGUUCUCACACCUCAGGCUUUGAAGGUUUGCUUCUCAGAUACAUUGCUUUGAUGCUACAAGAUUGAAAAAGGAAGACAUGAUUGUCACUAACUCCAUCACGUAUUGCUCCUUGGGUGUUGGAUAUGGUCAAAGAAAGCUUGUAAAUAAUGAAGAAGGCAUUGCAGAGGAAAAGAAUGACAGUGUAAACUCUUUUCUUUUUUUCCUUACAUACUUUUAUCUUCAUUUGUUAUCAAGUUAGUUUGUAAAGAAAAAAGUGAUGGGGUUCAGGGUUGGAUUAAAAAAAAGUUAUGAGGUUCUUAACUAU